GUAGUUGUAGCCGAGUGGUUAAGGCGAUGGACUUGAAAUCUAUAGGGGUUUCCCCCACGCAGGUACAAAUCCUGCCAGCUACG